rnacentral:rRNA from 1 species
UCGUGGUGCGAUCUGUCUUGUUGAUUCCGAUAACGAACGAGAUCUUUACCAAUCUAGUUUGAGUAGUACGCAUGUAAAGUGCGUCUUGGUCGCAAUGUGAGGGACCCGGUGUGCUGAGCACUAGGAAGAAAGGCAAUAACA